rnacentral:rRNA from 1 species
AACGAACGCUGGCGGCAUGCCUAACACAUGCAAGUCGAACGAGACCUUCGGGUCUAGUGGCGAACGGGUGCGUAACGCGUGGGAACCUGCCCUUAGGUUCGGAAUAACUCCCCGAAAGGGGUGCUAAUACCGGAUAAUGUCUUCGGACCAAAGAUUUAUCGCCUUUGGAUGGGCCCGCGUUGGAUUAGCUAGUUGGUAGGGUAAAAGCCUACCAAGGCGACGAUCCAUAGCUGGUCUGAGAGGAUGAUCAGCCACACUGGGACUGAGACACGGCCCAGACUCCUACGGGAGGCAGCAGUGGGGAAUAUUGGACAAUGGGCGAAAGCCUAAUCCAGCAAUGCCGCGUGAGUGAUGAAGGCCUUAGGGUUGUAAAGCUCUUUUACCCGGGAUGAUAAUGACAGUACCGGGAGAAUAAGCUCCGGCUAACUCCGUG